rnacentral:rRNA from 1 species
AGCGCGUCGUAGUCCGGAUCGGAGUCUGCAACUCGACUCCGUGAAGUCGGAAUCGCUAGUAAUCGCAAAUCAGAAUGUUGCGGUGAAUACGUUCCCGGGCCUUGUACACACCGCCCGUCACACCAUGGGAGUGGGUUGCACCAGAAGUAGAUAGCUUAACCUUCGGGAGGGCGUUUACCACGGUGUGAUUCAUGACUGGGGUGAAGUCGUAACAAGGUAACCCUAGGGGAACCUGGGGUUGGAUCACCUCCUUACCUUAA